AUGAAAAAAAGGGGAUGGCCGGGGAUGUUAGGUAGUCUUGACUGCAUGCAUUGGAGGUGGAAAAAUUGCCCAAAGGCAUGGCACAGAAUGUAUUGCGGUAAAAGCCGUGAUGCUACCAUUGUGCUUGAGGCCGUAGCAUCUCAGGACACAUGGAUUUGGCAUGCAUUCUUUGGGUUGCCGGGAACACUCAAUGAUAUCAAUAUCCUCAAUAGAUCUCCUUUGUUCAAAAGAUUAAUUUCUGGGGAUGCUCCAGCUUGCAACUACAAAAUCAUGGACAAUGAGUACUCAAUGGGAUACUAUCUCACCGAUGGCAUCUAUCCCGAAUGGGCAACUCUUGUGAAGUCCAUCAAGGAGAAAAAUAGGGUGCCCUUAACAAGAAAAGAGGCUCAUUUCACCAAGGCACAAGAGGCAGCCCGCAAGGAUAUUGAGAGAGCUUUCGGUGUUUUGCAAGCAAGGUUUGCCAUAGUUCGUGGUCCAGCUCGGUUUUGGGACAAAAAAACCUUGAUGAACAUCAUGAAAUGUUGUGUGAUUCUACACAACAUGAUCCUAGAGGAUGAAAGAGGGUUAAACCUCCCUUGUUUCUAUGACAAUGUUGGUACCCGUGUGCAACUGGAAAGAAACCCUUCUCGCAUACACGCUUUUCUUCAAGCAUAUCGUGAGAUUGAGGAUGCAACCACUCAUGGUCGGCUCCGGGAUGAUCUAAUAGAGCACCACCGGCAGUUGGAUGGGCGGCGCAUUGGCCCAUGA
rnacentral:rRNA from 1 species